AAAUCCAAAGGAAAUAUUUUCACCGAUUCUGGGAAAUUAUUUCCUUUUGGAAGAGACUUGCAUUACUUAAAUUUGAGAAAUACUGUUUAUUACAAAGUAUAAAGUUCCCUCUAUAUGGGCCUACUAAUACAGGAAAAAAAAAUCCUAAAAUGAGAUAAACAAAAAUAUUGACUGCUAUUUUCUUUAUAGAUUCUUUUUUAUCUGAAAGACUGUAUGUUCCCCUGCCACCAAACAAACAGAAGUCAAUAAGUGUCGUAUUAAAGCCAUAUCAAAUUUGCCGACCAUUCUCUAAAUGAGGCAAUGGGCCGUAAGUCUCCCUCAUCCAGUAGAAGCUGUCAGUCCUAUCAUUCUGAGAUUCUGCAGACACAGAAAAUGCUAUUAAAUGAACAAUUUAUGCAAAUUCCUCAGAGUUGAAUGACAUUUGCAUAUGCCGUCUGUCAAAAAGUUCUGAUGGGAGAGAAUCUGAUAAUCUUCCUGCCUGAGUAAGGUAAGGGGACGUGGACAAGAGAGCUGAGAAUGAUCUUUUGAGCAACGGUCACGCGGAAGGCAUGGCUCCAUGAGUCUGCAACCUUCCCUUCUUGGUGGUUUUCUGGGGCCUGGUCUCACAUGACCAUCCAGUUAAAGAGUUAUCAUUAAAGGUUGU
rnacentral:lncRNA from 1 species